GAUGAACGCUGGCGGCGUGCCUAAUACAUGCAAGUCGAGCGAACGGACGAGAAGCUUGCUUCUCUGAUGUUAGCGGCGGACGGGUGAGUAACACGUGGAUAACCUACCUAUAAGACUGGGAUAACUUCGGGAAACCGGAGCUAAUACCGGAUGAUAUUUUGAACCGCAUGGUUCAAAAGUGAAAGACGGUCUUGCUGUCACUUAUAGAUGGAUCCGCGCUGCAUUAGCUAGUUGGUAAGGUAACGGCUUACCAAGGCAACGAUGCAUAGCCGACCUGAGAGGGUGGGGAGGCAACGUGGGAACGGGACCAGGGCCCACACCCGACGGGGGGCAGGGAGGAGGAAUCUUCCCGAAGGGGGGGGAGGCUGGAGGAAGAACCGCGGGGUGGGGAGUAAGGGUUUUGGGAUGUAAAACUUUUUUUUUGGGGGAAAAAAAUAUUUUUAGGAAACUGUGCACAUCUGGAGGGUACCUAAUAAAAAAGCAAGGGCAAACUCCGUC
rnacentral:rRNA from 1 species